UGCGAAAGCAGGUCAUAGUGAUCCGGUGGUUCUGAAUGGAAGGGCCAUCGCUCAACGGAUAAAAGGUACUCCGGGGAUAACAGGCUGAUACCGCCCAAGAGUUCAUAUCGACGGCGGUGUUUGGCACAUGAUUUUCAGCCAUUCGCCUUUCUCAUCCUGCCCAUG
rnacentral:rRNA from 1 species